CUUUAGUUGAAGAGAUAGGUCGUUUAGAGUCACAUUUACUUUUGUCCUUGACUGUCUUAUUAAUUUUGUCACAGAAUGCCAAAGGGGGAGUUUGUUAGAAAAAUGUUGUAAUUGGCAAUCUGUGACCAAAGGACCAAUUUGUCAAGUUUGUAAAGUCAAGGACUAAAUUGUAAAGGUCCAAAAAGUUCAGGGACUUGUGUUGCAAUUUUUUAAGUUUAUAGCAUAGGUCUAGGGUAAAGUUGGAUGCUUUGAAGAUACAAACGGCGUGUUGAUCUCGCUAGAGUUUUACCCUGACCUUGCUCGAGCCUAAAUAACAGAACUAUCGUCGCUAGAGUUUCGCUGAAGGGUUGCUCGAGCGAAGGUGCGUCGCUC
rnacentral:lncRNA from 1 species